rnacentral:rRNA from 1 species
CACUCCUACGGGAGGCAGCAGUGGGGAAUAUUGGACAAUGGGCGCAAGCCUGAUCCAGCCAUGCCGCGUGAGUGAUGAAGGCCCUAGGGUUGUAAAGCUCUUUCACCGGUGAAGAUAAUGACGGUAACCGGAGAAGAAGCCCCGGCUAACUUCGUGCCAGCAGCCGCGGUAAUACGAAGGGGGCUAGCGUUGUUCGGAUUUACUGGGCGUAAAGCGCACGUAGGCGGACUAUUAAGUCAGGGGUGAAAUCCCGGGGCUCAACCCCGGAACUGCCUUUGAUACUGGUAGUCUUGAGUUCGAGAGAGGUGAGUGGAAUUCCGAGUGCAGAGGUGAAAUUCGUAGAUAUUCGGAGGAACACCAGUGGCGAAGGCGGCUCACUGGCUCGAUACUGACGCUGAGGUGCGAAAGCGUGGGGAGCAAACAGGAUUAGAAACCCCUGUAGUCCC